rnacentral:lncRNA from 1 species
GGAGAAAGAGAGUGUGAAAAUAUAAAUCUCUUUUGUGUUUGUUUGACAAUUCGUGUGACAUAAGUAAUAAGAAGCUGAACCAGCAAAAAGUUAACCAAUUUAGACCAAAACUACACUGCGGUUUAUAUUAAAACCGUUAAUACAUAUUUAAUAUACCAGAUUAUUCUAUUUCAGUAAAGUCGAAAAGGAGAUUUUAUGACGCGACGACAGCGGAGCUAUUGCGAUCACCGUCACUCACUCUCGUCGACGUUUUGGUGGAUGCCAGGUGAUUUCAUAAGCAAGAGAAGUUGAAACAGCGGGCUUUCGUGCAUUACAAAUCAUCGGCUCGGGUUACUUGAAGAAUCAGAGAAGAACCGAAGCAGUAUGUCAUAAGCGCCUCUAUCUCAACAAUCUACCAUGACAUUAUCAUCCAAUAGAGAGAUCGUAAUUAAGGGAACCAAGAGUUACAGAAACUAGUCAACUUCUUUCUUACAUCAGAUUCAUAAACAAUCUAACUGGAUCUACUUGCUUGCCCUUAGCUGGACCAAGUAUCUUGACAAACCACUUCGGCUUGAAUGAAGCAAUAACGUGUGCCAUUACCAAUCCAAGUAACAGUCCAGGCCAAUACCCGAAAAACACUGCUUUCCACUCAAUCACUUCGUCCUCUUCUUCUUCUUCGUCUUCUUCCUUGGGAUAUUUUGUUGGUGGCGCAACGCAACUUCCUUGGAGAGGAAGACCACAGAGACCUACAUUCCCUUCAAAUGAUGAUUCAGCUUGCCCACUAAACUGUGGUCCCUGUGGUAUUUCACCUUUGAGUUGGUUAUGAGCUACACUUAUGUACGCCAGAAAUGAGAGGCUCCCGAGUUCUCUUGGAAUAUUCCCUGAUAGUUGAUUUCUUGACAGGUCUAGUGACUCGAGCUCCGUAACAUUUGCCAAAGACAUAGGAAUAUGGCCAGUGAAGGCGUUGUUCGAUAAGUUGAGCGCUAUCAAUUCCUUCAACAGACCAAUAGACUCAGGAAUCUGUCCUUCAAGUUUGUUUCCAGAGAAAUCAAUGGUGCUGUAGAAACUCGGGAAACGCGAGAGGACCUCGAUCAGGAGGAGAGAGAUGGCCGAAGAAUCUGUUUGAACGGAGAGUCAAGACAUGCAAAUUGGGUAGCGCCUUCAGCCAGAAAGGAAACGUGUCUUCAAUUCUGUUGUUGUCAACACUCAGAAACCUCAGAGAGGAGCAAUUCAAAAGUGAUUUUGGAAGCUUCCCGGUUAGUCGAUUAUAGCCAACGUCAAGCGUCUGUGUCUUAGCACCGCUAUGGAACUCGUCAGGUAUACUUCCUUCCAAGCUGUUCUUCCUGAGGUUUACUACUUUUAAGUUACUCAGACAUUGAGGAAUUGGACCGGUGAAUUUGUUGUAGGAUAGAUCAAGGACGAUGAGAGAGCUUCGGUUGCAGAUUGAGAGAGGUAUGUUCCCUGUGAAACUAUUGUUCCACGCAGACAAGUAGAUCGAACCGAGUGGUGGAGUAGGAAACGCUCCUGUCAUGGAGUUAUAGGCAAAAUCUAGUAACUGCACUGAUGAGUUAAGUAAAACUUCUGAAGAACCUUCGAAACCAGUCAAAGAAUUGUUAACAAGAUUUGCUAUGCUAAGACGAGGAAGCUUCCAAAACCACUCAGGUACUUUCCCUUUGAUUAGAUUGUUGGAAAUGUCUAUAUGCUCCAAGUUUUGAAGGGUCUUAAAGAUGUUUGGAAACUCGAUAAUGUCGCACUGGAUCAAAAUCAAGCUUAUUAAGCUCAAUGGAAACUCUGAAUCUGAACUUAAACUGGCUGGUAAUAACCUAUUUUGACGAAUAUCAAAGACCAACAAAGAUUUGAGAGGAGCGAAGACGCGUAAGUCAAUUGGGUGACUUAUGUUUAGGGAAGCAAGUUCAAGAUGGUUGAGGUUUAUGAGCUUUGAGAUAGGCUCUAUGAUUUUUCCUUCAAAUUGGUUAAACCCAAGGGACAAACGAACUAGCUUAGAUGAAGAAGAAGAGUUUGGGACAUCAAUAGAACCAGUGAGAUGAUUCUUUUUCAGAUCAAGAUAAGACAAGAAAGGCAAAGUGGGUAGUAAAUCAAAAGGUAUGGCUCCUGAGAAUUGAUUGUAAGAAAGGUCUAAAAAGGAAAGCUUUGUUAGGUUUCUUACAGGUGGGAAACUACCAGUGAGCUCAUUAUGGGAAAGGUUUAAAUGGGUAAGCAAGAUAAGGUUACUAAUUGAGGAAGGAACUUGACCAGUAAAGCUACUAGAGGCAAGAGACAAAACCUCUAAUCUGGUGAGAUUGCUGAAUUCAGAAGGGAGUGAAGAGGAAGUGAAGUUGUUGUGAGAGAGAUUAAGGUAACGAAGCUGAUGCAACUCAAAGAGACUACUGUUUGGUUUGAGAGUUCCAGUGAAGCAACCACUUGGGAGCUGAAGCUUCGUGACCGCACCAGUCGUGUUAUCACACUGGACUCCGUUUAAGUAGUCACUGCGGUUGCAGCCGUCAGAUUCAAACUCAUUCUUGAAUUGGAUUAGAGCUUGGAUCUGGUCAGGAAGACAAGCAAGAGCGUCGGUCGUCAAGAAGCUUGAAACGAAGACGAUACAGUAGAGUAAGAGUAGCGAGCAAAAAUGCAAACGCAUGGUGUUUGUGAUUGAACCAACAAGUUGAGGAAAUUAUUGAACCCAAAAAAAGACAUAUCAAAGAUUUGCUAUAUAUAUGUUAUUUUAAGCCGCCUUUACUAAAUAUGUGGGGUUUAAAUGUCACGUGAAAUGUCUACGAGUCACAUUUGUUCAUGAAGUAAAUUCCACGUGGACAUCUCUGACUAUAUAACUG